UCGCUUCGCUCAGAAUUUAAAAGAUCUGACAUAUUUAUUAACACCACACGCUGAAUGUUGUAGCCUAUAUGUAUGAAGUUAAGUCGAUAUACGAUAAAUAAGGUAUAGUUUAUACUUUAUACACUGAAAGCAACGAUAAAUCAUUGCAGUCAAAAUACGAUUCAGAACAGAGAUUAGUAAUCUAGUAGUUUUAUAGUGGCUAUUAGUUGUGCUGUUUCCCUUAUUGUAGACAAGUUAAACUGUAUAAUAUAACCUUCAAUUGCUUUUUAGAUUCGAAGCGUAUUUUUAUUGUAAAUUGUACGAUGUGGACGAUUUUUAAAAUGUUAGUAACCAAAAAAAUAAACACGAACAGUUACUAUUUAGUUCAAUUAUGUAUCCGCUUUGAUAUUAUACAGUAUACCUAAUAGAUUAAUACGCGUUA